UACGGAGGGUGCAAGCGUUAUCCGGAUUCACUGGGUUUAAAGGGUGCGUAGGUGGGCAUGUAAGUCAGUGGUGAAAUCUCCGGGCUUAACCCGGAAACUGCCAUUGAUACUAUAUGUCUUGAAUACCAUGGAGGUGAGCGGAAUAUGUCAUGUAGCGGUGAAAUGCUUAGAUAUGACAUAGAACACCAAUUGCGAAGGCAGCUCACUACGCGGUUAUUGACGCUGAGGCACGAAAGCGUGGGGAUCAAACAGG
rnacentral:rRNA from 1 species